rnacentral:rRNA from 1 species
UCGCACCUACCGAUUGAAUGGUCCGGUGAAGACUCGGGAUUGUAGCGUGGCUCCUUUAUUGGUGCCUCGCCGCGAGAACUUGUCUAAACCUUAUCAUUUAGAGGAAGGUG